GACGAACGCUGGCGGCGUGCUUAACACAUGCAAGUCGAACGGAAAGGCCUGCUUUCCCUUGUGUAUUGCGGGUACUCGAGUGGCGAACGGGGGAGUAACACGGGAUUGAUCUGCCCCCAACGGGGGUAUAAGCCUGGGAAACUGGGUCUAAUUCCCGAUAGGACGGCAGGGUGGUGCCUGUGGUGGAAAACGAUGUUCUAGUGGGUGGGGAUGAGCUCGCGGCCUAUCAGCGUGGUGGUGGGGUAAUGGCCUACCAAGGCGUCGACGGGUAGCCGGCCUGAGAGGAUGGACGGCGACAUUGGGACUGAGAUCCGGCCCCGACUCGUACGGGCGGCAGCAGUGAGGGGUAAUGCACAACGGGCGGAAGCCUGACGCAGCGCGUCCGCGUGGGGGAUGACGGCGUUCGGGUUGUAAACUCCUUUGGACCGCGAGGAAGCCACCUGGUUGGCAGGGUGCUGACGGUAGUGGUAGAAGAAGCACCGGCUAACUACGUG
rnacentral:rRNA from 1 species